AUGGAGGUCGAGAUCAAGCUCCGGCUCCCGGACGCGGCCGCGCACGGGCGCCUCUCCGCCUUCCUCGCGCCGCGCCUGCUCCGCACCGACGCCCAGCGCAACGUCUUCUUCGACGCCCCCGCGCGGCCCCUCGCCGCCGCCACCGCGGCCCUCCGCGUCCGCCUCUACGGCCCCGACGACCGCGCCCCGUCCCGCGCCGUGCUCGCGCUCAAGCGCCGCGCGCGCAUCGACGCCGGCGUCAGCCGCGUCGAGGAGGUCGAGGAGCCCCUCGACCCGGCCCUCGCCCUCGCCUGCCUCGACGACCCCGCCCGCCUCGGCGCCGUCGACUCCCCCAUCGUCCGGCUCGUCUCCGACGAGUACGGCGUCGGCGGGGACAGAGCGCCGUUCGUCUGCCUCGGCGGGUUCCGGAACACCCGCGGCGUGUACGAGCUCGGGGAGGGCGAGGGGCAGGGGCUCGUGCUGGAGCUCGACGAGACGCACUUUGAUUUCGGCACCAACUACGAGCUCGAGUGCGAGACCGCGGAGCCCGACCAGGCCAAGGAGGUCCUCGAGCGGCUGCUCACGGUCGCUGGGGUGCCGUAUGAGUACUCCCGGAGCAAUAAGUUCGCGUGCUUCAUGGCCGGGAAGCUGCUUCCAUGA
rnacentral:rRNA from 1 species